rnacentral:lncRNA from 1 species
AUGACAGACGGGAGACUCUGGCGGCUCAUGACAGACGGGAGACUCUGGCGGCUCUGGACAGACGGGAGACUCUGGCGGCUCUGGACAGACGGGAGACUCUGGCGGCUCUGGACAGACGGGAGACUCUGGCGGCUCUGGACAGACGGGAGACUCUGGCGGCUCUGGACAGACGGGAGACUCUGGCGGCUCUGGACAGACGGGAGACUCUGGCGGCUCUGGACAGACGGGAGACUCUGGCGGCUCUGGACAGACGGGAGACUCUGGCGGCUCUGGACAGACGGGAGACUCUGGCGGCUCUGGACAGACGGGAGACUCUGGCGGCUCUGGACAGACGGGAGACUCUGGCGGCUCUGGACAGACGGGAGACUCUGGCGGCUCUGGACAGACGGGAGACUCUGGCGGCUCUGGACAGACGGGAGACUCUGGCGGCUCAUGACAGACGGGAGACUCUGGCGGCUCAUGACAGACGGGAGACUCUGGAGGCUCUGGACAGACGGGAGACUCUGGCGGCUCUGGACAGACGGGAGACUACGGGAGACUCUGGCGGCUCUGGACAGACGGGAGACUCUGGCGGCUCUGGACAGACGGGAGACUCUGGCGGCUCUGGACAGACGGGAGACUCUGGCGGCUCUGGACAGACGGGAGACUCUGGCGGCUCUGGACAGACGGGAGACUCUGGCGGCUCUGGACAGACGGGAGACUCUGGCGGCUCUGGACAGACGGGAGACUCUGGCGGCUCUGGACAGACGGGAGACUCUGGCGGCUCUGGACAGACGGGAGACUCUGGCGGCUCUGGACAGACGGGAGACUCUGGCGGCUCUGGACAGACGGGAGACUCUGGCGGCUCUGGACAGACGGGAGACUCUGGCGGCUCUGGACAGACGGGAGACUCUGGCGGCUCUGGACAGACGGGAGACUCUGGCGGCUCUGGACAGACGGGAGACUCUGGCGGCUCUGGACAGACGGGAGACUCUGGCGGCUCUGGACAGACGGGAGACUCUGGCGGCUCUGGACAGACGGGAGACUCUGGCGGCUCUGGACAGACGGGAGACUCUGGCGGCUCUGGACAGACGGGAGACUCUAGCGGCUCUGGACAGACGAGGCGCACUGUAG